rnacentral:tRNA from 4 species
GGAGGCGUCGCAUAGUGGUCUAGUGCGUUCGCUUGGAAAGCGAAUGUACCGCAAGGUACCAGAGGUUCGAAUCCUCUCGCCUCCG